AACAACAACUUCUUCCGUUUUCAAUCCGUUUCCGGAAAUGCCGAGACUGCCCGCUGUUAAAGAGUAUAAAACAAUGCGCACUUGUCAUUCAGUGACCGUGGGCUGGAUACCUCAAAUGGUAUGCACACUGCCACUUAUUGUAUGGUGGUCAAGCAGGGAAAAAUAAACCAUCGUGAGUAUAAGGGCAAUCAAUGUAAUGAGAAGGGACAACUAAGACGAGGCAAGGUAUAUCGCAAUGAUGUUGCCAAAAUAUGCAAACAACUUAAACAUACUGUCAGAAUAAGCGUCUUGACACAGAAAAUAGAUAAAUUAAAACCUGGAAAGUUUUACAACGUGCAAAUUAUGGUGCGUAAGCCAAAAGGACGCAUGUUGUCUUACGAACUUUGCAAGUUCGUACAAAAUCGACUUGUUAAAAGUUCUGGUAGAUUUUACGUACUAUAUCAGGCAAUUUUUGCUUUUGUGAGAAAACAGCUUAAAUUAUUAUUUUAUCAUAACGGGACUUUAGUUUCUAAAUCAUUCAAAGAUGUCGCUUGGAUGCACUUAUUUGCAAUAAAUUCUUGUUUGAGUAGUAGUGAGUGUACAAGUAGGUAAACAAUGAUAUGUUUGUUAUUGAAUCACUAUCGUUUUAUGAUAACCAGAUUUGUCAGUUAGGCAUGAUAUUUCAUGUUGAAUUCCGAAGCACACAAAUUUGUAUGCAUUAAUUUUAUAUGAAAUGUAUGCAAAUUUUUGUAAAGCUUCGAAACAAUUCUCCAAAUUAAUUCCAGGAAAAUAUUAUAAAACUUUAUAAAAAUAUUAUUUUGGUCUGGUGAUUUCAUCAAGAACAUUACCUCACAUCUAAGCUGCGUUAAAUAUGUAAUAUUUUGGAUUAUACGAAAUAUAACUCGAUAAAAUAUAA